rnacentral:rRNA from 1 species
GAUGACCUCGGAUCAGGUAGGGAUACCCGCUGAACUUAAGCAUAUCAAU